GACGAACCGUGCGAACGUUGUUCGGAAUCACUGGGCUUAAAGGGCGCGUAGGUGGUUUGCCAAGUCGGGGUUGAAAUCUUUCGGCUUAACCGGAAAAGUGGCUUCGAUACUGGCAGGCUGGAGGGAGGUAGGGGCGGAUGGAACUUCCGGUGGAGCGGUGAAAUGUGUUGAUAUCGGAAGGAACGCCGGUGGCGAAAGCGAUCCGCUGGACCUCUUCUGACACUGAGGCGCGAAAGCCAGGGGAGCAAACGGG
rnacentral:rRNA from 1 species